UGCACGGUGGCGCAGUUGGUAGCACUGUUGACUGUUGCCUUGCAGCAAGAAGGUCCUGAGUUUGAUUCCCGGCCGGGGGUCUUUCUGCAU